GAUAAUCCCGCCCCGAUCUUGACCAGUUUAUCUGGAUUUCCCGGUACCAACUCAACAUCCUCUGUUUCUUCUGCUGGUAGAGCCAUGGGUUCAGUACUGCCUUCCGUGAAUGGCUCGAUCUCGAUGGUCAUCGUCUGUUUCUGCUUACUGACACCGACUCCUGAAGAAAUCAAGGUAUUCCGAUAACAUCUUCGGGCGAUGUCGAGAUCUCCGUUUUACCUCCCUUAUCCCGUUCGGUGUCGGAAACUUGAUUUUGAAGUGGGGUAUAGAUGUUACCGCUUGCAGUGCCGAUAAGGUGGGCCUUCCCAAAAUGGCGUUGUAAGCCGAAUCCACUUGUACGACAAAAAUUUUUACCAUGAUUUCUGUCUGCUGUGGGGCCGUA
rnacentral:lncRNA from 1 species